UACCCGCAGCACAAGUGGCGGUCAUUAUUAUUGGGCCUAAAGCAUCCGUAGCCGGUUCUACAAGUCUUCCGUUAAAUCCAUCUGCUUAACAGAUGGGCUGCGGAAGAUACUAUAGAGCUAGGAGGCGGGAGAGGCAAGCGGUACUCGAUGGGUAGGGGUAAAAUCCGUUGAUCCAUUGAAGACCACCAGUGGCGAAGGCGGCUUGCCAGAACGCGCUCGACGGUGAGGGAUGAAAGCUGGGGGAGCAAACCGG
rnacentral:rRNA from 1 species